ACUUAAGUUCGCUGUCGUGCUUUCUCAGAGAAGGUCGUGAAAGUGAGAUGCGAAAUGUUAUAUUCGCGGUGUGGAGCUUAUGGAUCUUGAGCGUUAUGUCUUCACGUAUGAGUGAAGAGAGGCGAAGAUCUUUGAGGGAGACUGCAAAGGAAAUGUUCUUUCAUGCGUAUCACGCUUACAUGGAAAAUGCUUAUCCUGCUGAUGAGCUGAUGCCUCUGAGUUGCAAGGGACGAGUAAGAGGCGUAGAGCCAAGUCGAGGUGACAUCGAUGAUGCUUUGGGAAGUUAUUCUCUUACACUGAUUGACUCUUUGGACACAUUGGCUGUUAUGGGUGAAAUGGAAAAGUUUGCUGCAGCAAUCAACCAUGUAGUUGAAGAUGUGACUGUGAAUAAUGACAUUGUUGUGUCUGUAUUUGAAACUAAUAUACGUGUUUUGGGUGGACUGCUUAGUGCUCAUGUUCUUGCAUCUCUGUUUCGCGAUAUGGGAAAUGUUUAUUUGUUAUCAUAUAACAAUGAAUUACUAAGCCUGGCAGAAGAUGUAGGCAAUCGGCUUUUACCUGCAUUUAAUACUACCACAGGGCUGCCGUACCCAAGGAUUCCAUUGUCAUCAAGAUGCCAUUUCAUUUUGUCGAGCCAUGAAAACCUUUUUGGCAAGGACAAUAACAGUGUUUCCACUCCUUUAUACGCACACUGACGGCACUCAGUCCAGCGGUUUAUGUGUAAUCUGAAAAUGAUACUACAGUAUGUAAACUUAGAUGUCUACAAACUGGGCAAGAAAAGCAGGAAAUGGGCGUGGCUUUGCGUGCGAGAAAUGGGCGUGGUUUGUGGUCAAUUUUAUUUACUCCCCAAACUUGAGUCCUGCGCUACGCCGAUGUGCAGAGCGUGUGUUUUCAAUAGCUACAACAUCAUUUAAAUCGGGGAGUCGACAAAUAGACUUUGUGGUGGACCAGUAUUGUAGUGUUUCCAUCAAGAACUGUGAACAAGAUAGGCGAUCGCAUUCUGGAUGUGUGCACAUUUUGAUACUUCAUGUAAUCAGCCUCUUCCUGGUCAGUGGAAAAAUACCUCUCAACCGGCGAUAACAAGUCAGAGCUGGCACGGUUUCUUUGUCAAGAAUGGCAAAGCAAAAUUUGUAAUGGAACUGUUUAACAAGUGUCUGUUUGCCACCGCGAGGAGCAUGUGCUACUGCUUAUCUAGCACUGAUGGAAAGGCAGUAACAGUAAAUGAAGUGGACGGUCUAUGUGGCUGCUCUCAUGAAGAAGCUGACACACAGCUGCUCUUACAUGCUGUGUAUGCUGCAGACAAUGCAUACUCCUUGCCUGCAUGCUUUGUACACUAUACCGCAGUCUUAGCCUUUACUUUCGUACUGGAACGAAGCAAAGUACCAGGUUUAUUCCACUUCAUACUGUAGCAGCAAAACUUGGAGAUGAAGUGUGCUUGGCUUUGUGGGAAUGCAUAGUUUCACUGGAUGUGACUCAACGAGCGCCUUGUAGGCAGAGGAAAGAAAACAGCUUUGGAACUAGUGACACGUCAUCCCAAGUUUGCAGCAACAAUGUCACAGCUUGGUUACGAUUUUCUUCCUUCAGGAGUUGCAAGACUCGUGUGAAGAAUUUACUUGUUCAUUAUACGGUAAACCUGGAACGUCAGUGAAUGAAGUACGGUAUAGCAUGUUCUGUUCACGGUCUUCCCAAUGCUACCAACUGCCUCCAACUAAGGACACUCUUAGAAAGCAUGUAGGAAGAGCAGCCUAUCAAGCUGUGAUAUGGCGGCGAGCCCUAGUAUGUGAUCCAGACAUUCCAAGUCCCAACAUGCUCGGUUGACUCUUGAAAGAAAGUCAGCUCUCCAUUGACUGGAUGUUGCAAUAUCCAGCACCACAGGGGAUUCUAGAGUUUCUUCCUUGUGGUUGUAAAUUGGCUGACAGCUGCACUACAGUUCGGUGUUCUUGCUUUAAGGCCAGUCUUCCAUGUACUGAUUGCUGUGGGUGUGUGGAGUGCGGGAAUUUAAUAACUUCUCCAGCAAAAGACGAAGAGGACUCUGAAGAUGAUUCUUAUAUAUCCGAUGAAUCGAUAAAUGCAUAAAUGAAGGGCUUCGAUAUCUUGGUCUAUUGCUGCAUGGCCACCAUAUAUGUAACGUCG